rnacentral:rRNA from 1 species
UACGUAGGUGGCAAGCGUUGUCCGGAAUUUAUUGGGCGUAAAGCGCGCGCAGGUGGUUUCUUAAGUCUGAUGUGAAAGCCCACGGCUCAACCGUGGAGGGUCAUUGGAAACUGGGGAACUUGAGUGCAGGAGAGAAGAGUGGAAUUCCACGUGUAGCGGUGAAAUGCGUAGAAGAUGUGGAGGAACACCAGUGGCGAAGGCGACUCUUUGGCCUGUAACUGACACUGAGGCGCGAAAGCGUGGGGAGCAAACAGG